UUUGUAAUAGUUUAUUUUUAAUUUAGUUUUUAAUUAAAUUGGUGGAAGUGUCCUUGUUUUUAGUAUUAAUUAUGAAAUAAUUUAUUUUAAUAAUAGUAUAUUGUACCGUGAGGGAAUAAUUUCUAAUUUAAGAAGUAGAUUUUAAUCGUACCUUUUGCAUCAGGGCUUAUUAAUUUACAUUAAUUAUGUUUAAUGUUCCCGAAAUUAAAUGAGUUAAGAUUCAAUGUUAGUUUUUGUUUUAAAAAGAUUGGUAAUUGUGUUUUAGUAGUGAUAUGCUAUUCAUAUUUAAUGAUAUCUGGUUCUUUAAGAAUUGUAUUUAAUACAGGGAUUAAAAUGUGAUUGAUAAUUGUAUUUUAUUAAUAAUCCUUAAUCUUUAAGGGAUUAGCUUUGAAGAUGGUUUAUAAUAUAUGAAUUAAUUGGAAGUUCUUAGGCUUAAUAAUAGUCAUUUUAAUUUGUUAUAAUUAGCUUUCUUUUGAUUUUUAUUUUAUUUUUAUUUAAAUUUUUAUUAAAGUUUAUUUUUUAAUUAAGUAUGAUUAGUAAUAAUGAUAAGAUUAGUAUUUUUAUAAAUUGUAUGUUAGGAAUUCGGCAAUACUAAUUCUCGCCUGUUUAACAAAAACAUGGUCUAUUGAUUAUUUAUUUUAGAUCUGACCUGCCCUAUGAUUUUAAAUUAAAUGGCCGCAGUAUCCUGACUGUGCAAAGGUAGCAUAAUAAAUUGUCUUUUAAUUGAAGGCUUGAAUGAAUGGUUGGACGAAGAAUUUACUUUCUUACAUGCAUAUAAUGAACUUAAUUUGUAAGUUAAAAAGCUUACAUAUGAAUGUGGGACGAGAAGACCCUAUAGAGUUUUAUUCUUUUAAUCCAUUCAUCAUUUUAUUUUUAAUUUUGAUGAAUGGGUUAUAGAUUUUUGUUGGGGUGAAAUCCAUUCAUCAUUUUAUUUUUAAUUUUGAUGAAUGGGUUAUAGAUUUUUGUUGGGGUGACAGAGUAAUUUUAUUAACUUACUUUUGGUUUAAUCACUAAUUAGUGUAUAAUUGAUCCUUUAUUAUGGAGUAUAAGAUAAAAUUACCUUAGGGAUAACAGCGUAAUUCUUUUGGAGAGUUCUUAUCGAUGAAGGAGAUUGCGACCUCGAUGUUGGAUUAAAGUUAGUUUUAUAGUGUAGCAGCUUAAUUACUUGGUCUGUUCGACCAUUAAAUCUUUACAUGAUCUGAGUUCAGACCGGCGUGAGCCAGGUUGGUUUCUAUCUACAUUAAAAUUGUGGUACUUUAGUACGAAAGGACCAAGUACUAGGAAUAAUUUCUUAUUAAUUGAAUAUUAAUU
rnacentral:rRNA from 1 species